GAUGAACGCUGACAGAAUGCUUAACACAUGCAAGUCUAGCUGAACUUCGGUUUGGGUGGCGGACGGGCGAGUAACGCGUACAGGACUGUCACCACAGUUAGGGACAACAUUUGGAAACGAAUGAUAAUACCAGACAUUAUGUAAUUAGGGCUAACAAGGAUUAUGAAAGCUAUAUGUGCUGUGAGAGGGCUUUGCGUUCCAUUAGCGAGUUGGAGAGGUAACGGCUCAUCAUGGCGAUGAUGGGUAGCCGGCCUGGGAGGGUGAAAGGCCACAAGGGCACGGAGACACGGCCCGUACGGCUACGGGAGGCAGCAGUGGAGAAUAUUGGACGAUGGACCAAAAGUCUGAUCCAGGUAUUCUGUGUGCACGAUGACGUUUUUCGGAAUGUAAAGUGCUUUCAGUUAGGAAGAAAAAAAUGACGGUACCAACAGAAGAAGUGACGGCUAAAUACGUG
rnacentral:rRNA from 1 species